GGCCAGAGUGAGGUGUGCUGUAGCCAGUCACAGGCUGCAGGGGUGUGGUGUAGGCAGGCUACCAGGCAGGUCUGCCUUGACCGACAGCCCAGCUGCAGGGCCUUCAGCUCUGCCAUGUGCUCUGCGUGGGCAGCAGGCCUUGCCUUCCAGCUCUGCCCUGUGCCCUCAGCACAGGCCUUAUGUGCCGGCCUUCCAGCUCUGCUACGUACCUGCAGGUCCUGGCCCAGCCCUUCCCUAGAGGCAAACAGUGAGUUGGUUCCGACCCAUAUCAAUAAUUCAGUGAGAUUCAGAUCCAGGAUCUCACAAGAGGGCAACACCAUCUCUUCAUCUCCCUUGUCUGUCCUUAAGAGUCUAUAUCCUUACAUGCCAACACUGCAGUCUUGUCUCUACCAUGUCUCCAUGAUUCCAGUAAGGUUGUAGCCCUGCAGGUGAGUGCACGUCUCUAUCUCCUCUUGUUUAUUCCCCAUGCUGUGAGCAUCAGUUUGCAUGAAGCCACGUCAGUUGGACCCCUUGAUGAAGCCAACUCUCUGGCUGGAGUGGCUGGAAUUCCUUUGUUCUGCUCUUCAGCUGCUCUCGUGAUGACCUAUGAUCCUUCUCCAGACUCUGGGCAUCUCUCGCUGGCACUGGCAUCAAACUGGUAGGAGUGGGAUGGAUAGAGGUUCCCCUCUCUCAGCAACUUUAAAGCCUCUUUACCAUCUUGGCAAGCCUAUGACUGAAGAUGGUGAUUGCUUGUGCAUGGUCCUUUCAGAUCUUUACCUGCCUUACUGUUACUCUUCCUCAUUACUGAAUUACCCAUUGCUGAACCUUUUUUUUUUUUCAUUACCUUAUUUUUACAAACUAGAUCAAUCUCUUUAAUUUCCUUGUGUAAAAUAAAAAUAUACUAGAAAUAUGAGAAGCCUGAACACCUGCUGCUUUCAAUAUAUUGGUCCUUUCCUGAAUUUCUUGCUGAAGUAGAAAAAUACAGUGUAAACAAAUAGUAAAAAGGUAGGUCAUGUGUAGUAAAUGACCAGAAAAAAGACAAUCUUACUUCAUCAGAAAACUAUCCUGGGUAGUCUCAGGAUAUAUAAUGCCAUCCUAAAGUAUUUCCAACUGAGAAAAUGUGAGACCAGAAGGGAUGGAUUUAUAUCUCUGAAAGUAUCCCAGAAUCUCAACGAGAAAAGCGUAUAGAAUUGAUUUAAUCUAAUCACAUGAACUGAAAUAAGUAAAACGCUAUCCUGGUUUUGGGUGGGAUGGAACUAAUUUUCUUCUUAGUAGUUGGUACAGUGUUGUGUUUUGAAUUUGGGAUGAGAAUAAUGUUGACAACACACUGUACAAAAUGCUUAACUUGAAAUGAAAUGGAUACACUCACUGAAAUACCAAAUCAAUUUUGGAAAGCAAAGUAAUACUUUGGAUACUCUGAAAAUGUCAAAACAUUUUAGGUUACUAUGAAUAAAUUUAAUUGGUGUCAUUGAUAAACUGAUUUGACACAAAGCUAAAGCCUGUCCACACAUAUUUAAUAAAUAUAAUAUUUAAAGCUUC